CAUAGUUGUAGUUAUACUGUAUACAUUACUUUGUACUCUACUUUAUUUCACUUAACAUGACAACAUAAGCAUUUACCCACAUCAUUAAAACUCCCUGGUACCCAGAGCCCAGGUCUAUUUUUAUAGAGAAGCUUAAGUGAUUCUCAGUGGGCUCUGCUACCCAGCCUUAAUCACACAAAGACAAGUUAUCAGGUUCUCUCCAAAGUCCUGGCCUGCCGCUUGCCUACUGAGCAGGAAGCAGAACUAAGGCUGUCAUGGAGAGGAAGGACAGGCCAAAUACUGUUUGGCUGCCUGCUCCCUCCCACGAGCCAGCCUGCAGCCUGCUAAGUAAGGGGCCCUGCUGAUCCAGAAUUCUUUCUUGCAGAAACACAUACUGGCUUUGAACCAAGGAGGCAGGCUCACUGCUGCAGCAGCCCCAGGGGAAAAAUCCAGACACAGAAUAAAAAAGUAAACUAUGCCAGUGACUGUAUGGCAGUAUAGCAGGAUUGCUCAUCUUAAUUUCCAGAAAAGCGUCAUCCUAACUCACAGGCAAGACAAAGGCUGCCCAGCAGCCUUUACCCCUACUUUCCACACGGUGAGUGCACUGGAGGUUUCAAAAAGCCUGCGGACUAAGACCAGGAGAACAGCAGACACAGCCCACUGGGAAGCCCAUGAUGUUGACCCCAGAGUGGACUUGUGGACUCGUCAACUCGGGCCAGGCUCCUGGGCCUCACUCCCAUCACGAAGGCUGAAGUGGAAUAGUACAAUCAUGGCUCACAGCAACCUCAUCCUCCUGGGCUCAGGUGAUUCUCCUACCUCAGUCUCCUGGGUAGCUGAGACUACAGGCUCCCACCACCACAACUGGCUAAUUUUUUGUAUUUUUAGUAGAGGUAGGGUUUUGUCAUGUUGCCCAAGCUGGCCUUAAACUCUUAAGCUCAAGAGAUCCACUAGCCUCAGCCUCCCAAAGCAUUGGGAUUACAGGCAUGAGCCACUGCACCUGGCUACACCUGACUCUUUUAAUAGUACUGACCUCAGUAGAUGGGUGUUGGGGUUUUUAAUUGACAUUAACACGCUCAGGUGGUCAUAGCCUGAAGCCCCAAAAUGAGUGUGAUUAUCUCAUUCUUCAUAAACCAGACAGAUGUUGACUUCCAGCAUCCUGAAGUAUACCAGGCCUUAUGGAGGGAUAGGAGAUUUGAGGAUAUUAGGUCAAGGUCAGCUCCCCAAACACCUUCUCUAAUCGCUCAAUAGUGAACUGAUGUCUUGUAGUAUCUUGUAGCUUAAAAGGAGGGGCUGUCCUCUUCAUUCUCUAGUUGUGUCAUGUUUAUCUUUAAACUGAACAGUUUUCCACUGAAAAUAUGAUUUACAAGUAAGGAAAGUUAACAGGGCAGUUUCUUUGUAUAUCAGCUUUAUUUAGAAUUUACAUUAUGUUUCCAUUUUUCUAUCAGUUGAUCCAGGCUCUGAAUGUUAAGAAACAGGACAUGUGGCCCAACAAGAGCCCUUGUCCAGGAUCAUUAGUCAUUUAUGUAAAUAAAUGACUUCCCAGAGAAGGAGCA
rnacentral:lncRNA from 13 species